rnacentral:ncRNA from 1 species
CAACCUCAACUCAUAUGGGACUACCCCCUGAAUUUAAGCAUAUUAAUUAGGGGAGGAAAAGAAACUAACAAGGAUUUUCUUAGUAGCGGCGAGCGAAAAGAAAACAGUUCAGCACUAAGUCACUUUGUCUAUAUGGCAAAUGUGAGAUGCAGUGUAUGGAGCGUCAAUAUUCUAGUAUGAGAAAUUAAUGAUUUAAGUCCUUCUUAAAUGAGGCCAUUUACCCAUAGAGGGUGCCAGGCCCGUAUAACGUUAAUGAUUACUAGAUGAUGUUUCCAAAGAGUCGUGUUGCUUGAUAGUGCAGCACUAAGUGGGUGGUAAACUCCAUCUAAAACUAAAUAUAACCAUGAGACCGAUAGUAAACAAGUACCGUGAGGGAAAGUUGAAAAGAACUCUGAAUAGAGAGUUAAACAGUACGUGAAACUGCUUAGAGGUUAAGCCCGAUGAACCUGAAUAUCCGUUAUGGAAAAUUCAUCAUUAAAAUUGUAAUAUUUAAAUAAUAUUAUUAAGAAUAAUGUGCAUUUUUUCCAUAUAAGGACAUUGUAAUCUAUUAGCAUAUCCCAAAUUUAUCAUAAAAUAUAACUUAUAGUUUAUUCCAAUUAAAUUGCUUGCAUUUUAACACAGAAUAAAUGUUAUUAAUUUGAUAAAGUGCUGAUAGAUUUAUAUUAUUACAGAGCGUUAAUUUUUCGGAAUUAUAUAAUGGCAUAAUUAUCAUUGAUUUUUGUGUUUAUUAUAUGCUCUUGUAUGAUUAACAAUGCGAAAGAUUCAGGAUACCUUCGGGACCGAAUCCACCACAGUGGCG